rnacentral:rRNA from 1 species
AAGACCUUGCGCUUUUGGAGCGGCCGAUGUCUGAUUAGCUUGUUGGUAAGGUAAAAGCUUACCAAGGCUUCGAUCAGUAGCUGGUCUGAGAGGACGACCAGCCACACUGGGACUGAGACACGGCCCAGACUCCUACGGGAGGCAGCAGUGGGGAAUUUUGGACAAUGGGGGCAACCCUGAUCCAGCCAUGCCGCGUGAGUGAAGAAGGCCUUCGGGUUGUAAAGCUCUUUCAGCCGGAACGAAACGGUUACGGUUAAUACCCGUGACUACUGACGGUACCGGAAGAAGAAGCACCGGCUAACUACGUGCCAGCAGCCGCGGUAAUACGUAGGGUGCAAGCGUUAAUCGGAAUUACUGGGCGUAAAGCGUGCGCAGGUGGUUUUGUAAGUCAGAUGUGAAACCCCCGGGCUUAACCUGGGAACU